rnacentral:rRNA from 1 species
UACGAAGGGUGUAAACGUUGCUCGGAAUUAUUGGGCGUAAAGCGCACGUAGGCGGCUUUGCAAGUCGGAUGUGAAAUCCCCUCGGCUUAACCAAGGAAGUGCAUCCGAAACUGCAGAGCUUGAGUACUUAAGAGGAUCGCGGAAUUCCCGGUGUAGAGGUGAAAAUUCGUAGAUAUUGGGAAGAACACCGGUGGCGAAGGCGGCAACCUGGUCCUUGACUGACGCUGAGGCGCGAAAGCGUGGGGAGCGAAACAGG